rnacentral:rRNA from 1 species
AGUGAACGCUGGCGGUAGGCCUAACACAUGCAAGUCGAACGGCAGCACAGUAAGAGCUUGCUCUUACGGGUGGCGAGUGGCGGACGGGUGAGGAAUACAUCGGAAUCUACUUUUUCGUGGGGGAUAACGUAGGGAAACUUACGCUAAUACCGCAUACGACCUACGGGUGAAAGCAGGGGAUCUUCGGACCUUGCGCGAUUGAAUGAGCCGAUGUCGGAUGAGCUAGUUGGCGGGGUAAAGGCCCACCAAGGCGACGAUCCGUAGCUGGUCUGAGAGGAUGAGCAGGCACGCUGGAACUGAGACACGGUCCAGACUCCUACGGGAGGCAGCAGUGGGGAAUAUUGGACAAUGGGCGCAAGCCUGAUCCAGCCAUACCGCGUGGGUGAAGAAGGCCUUCGGGUUGUAAAGCCCUUUUGUUGGGAAAGAAAAGCAGCAGGUUAGUACGCCGCUGUUCUGACGGUACCCAAAGAAUAAGCACCGGCUAACUUCGUG